rnacentral:lncRNA from 1 species
UUAUUACUUUAGGACUUUUUAUGAGUAUUAGGGGAAAGUCAUGGCUAAAGCACAAACUGAUGGUAUUUAGGCAGAUUUAGGGACAGAGAUUUGAUAGAGUCUGAUUUCCUAGUCUUUCACUUAGGAAGCAUUAUUUGAAGGCAGCAAGGAAACCAGUUUCAGCUCUCCUGAAAUAAAUAAAGCAAUCAGGCUCUUCCAGUAACCAAAGGGUGAACCAAUACGGAUACUUCCCUUAACACUUAGUUUUCAUGAAGAAAAAUACAAGUGAAAUUUUAUAUUUUAAUAAGAAUAAUAUUGUCUUUCUUUAUGAUCUCCAACUCCUCCUUGGAGUGCUAUGGAAGAGUGACAGGGUGCAUGUACUGAGAACAUCAAAGUUGAGUCCUUAUAAUGUUAUUUCAUUGGAUUGGCCUCAAAAUAUCCUGUUUUCUAUCUAUUCUCUCUCUCUCUCUCUCUCUCUCUCUCUCUCUCUCUCUCUCUCUCUCUCUCCUAUCUAUAUGUCUAUCUGUGCAAGUAAGAAUGUGUAUGUGCACGUGUGUACACUGGUAUUUGUGAAUAUCUGUGCCUACUGAGGUCAGAGGACCACUCCUCAAGCUCCCCACCCACACCCACACACAUUGUAAAUUGUUUUGUUUGGAGACAAUGUCAAACUAUGUAGCCCUGGCUGACCCAGAACCUGCUAUGUAGACAAGGAUACCCUAUAAUUUAUAUACAUCCAUUGCUCUGCCUCCAGAACACUAGGAUUAAGGGCAUGUGCCAUGAUACAGCUUGUUUAUUUAAACUUUUAGAAGUUUACCUUGCUCUAGAGACAGGAUUUCUUGCUGGCAUGGAGUUUUUCUAUAAACAAUUUUGGUUGGGUUGGGACUCCCAGGAUCCAAUUCUUUCUUCAGUACUGAUGUUAUAAGCAAUCACACCUUGGGAGUAGAACUCAUAUCCUUAUAUUUGUAAACGAAAUGCGUUACUGACUUAAUUAUUCUUCAAGCUCCUUGUUCAGCUUCUUCAUAGGUACAAUGUACAUUUCUAUUGUUUGAGAAUGUCUAAUUCUACUGUAUAAUGAGAGCAAAUAGGGGUUGGCAAGACUCAAGUAUGAGUAAGUAGAGUGCUUAUUAGACAUGAAUAGCAAAGGGAUAGAGAAAUAAAUAAUACUUAUGGCACAAGAAUUACACAUGAGGAAGGCAAACACAAACUAUUCAUGAACACAAAAUAUAGAGGUAAGAAUGCUACUCAGGUCACAUUAUAUGCACACACACACACAAACACACACACACACACACACACACACACACACACACACACACACACGUGCACAUGCCCAGUGGGUUGUGUGUGUGUGUGUGUGUGUGUGUGUGUGUGUGCUGUCUUAAUUAAUGGCAUCACACUUGCCACAAAUAAUUAUUAUGAACUGGUGAACUACAGGUGGUGUCAGCCACAGUUGUCAUAAGUGAGUCAUGGUCAUGCCUUUAAAUCUCACCUUAAUGUCUGUUAGUCACAGGCUGAAAUGGUUAGGUGGUUGACCCAUCAGGGAAAGGGACAGAAUACAUGAACACUGUGUAUCAAGAUUGAAGUUCCUUUCUAAUGUGUUUCAUCUCUUUCCUCUUGCUUCUUACUGUUUAAAUUGUCCUCAUGAACUAUGUGAUUUGAACAUUUUAAUUUGGUUGUUUCUGGUUCAUCCCUAAAACAGUGUUUGCUUUCUGUUUCUGCUGUUAAAAUGGUCACAAACUGUAUCUUAAAACAACAUGAAUUACCAAUCUUAUAAAUGUCAGAAAUUCUAAAUAUGUUUCUCUGGGUUAAAGUCAAAGUGUCAGCAAGGCUAUAUUUCUUCCUGGGAGAUUUAGAGGCAAUUCUGAUCUUUACCUUUCUAAAGUAGCUUCUAAAUUCUUUUUCCAUCUCUUAUCUAGGUGUCCCUUCCAUUGUUCAUGUGAUUAAUGGAAGACCAAGUCUCUCUCACAAUGUUCUCUCACUUUGGUUCUGACCUUUCUUCUUCUUCCCCAUCUGAGAAUUCUCUUGGCUUCACUGUGCCAACUUAACCAAGAAAAUAUAAUCACUUACAAACCUAAUUGAGUUUCUAAGUUGAUUCUUUCUUGCCAAGUAAAACACCAGAUAAACAUGGAAUUGAAAUGAACAUUUUUGGGAGGUCAUGGUUUUGUUAUGUAUAGCCUCUAGCAUGGAACACCAAAGCUCCCACUACAUUGGGGAGAAUUUUCAUAUUGUUAUUGUCCAUUUACUUCUUGCUCUAUCAUAUAUUCAGCAUUGAUUUGCGAACACACUGUGGGGCCAAGGAAUGCUCCUUUGAAGCUCUUUCUCUUUCAAUUUCACAGAACUGAAAUCUUACAUCUUUCCCUUUCUGUUUCCUUUUAUACCAAAGGAAGUCCCCGAACUCAGGUGUAGUUUUGAAUCACCAUUCCAAAUAAAAUUUACCAAUUCAAGAUUAGAAUUGACCAUCCACUCUGGUUUACUGAAUAUAUAAAUAUAAACAAGUAUUUCUUUCUCCACAGAAAGCAGAUACUUAAGGCUAAUGCCAAGCUAAUCCUGAGCAAAGCCUAGUAUUAUACUCUACUCAAUCUUUGUGCUAAUCCAAUCAAGAGCUCUGAAAAUGUCUUGGAAUUUUGCCAUGGGGAUCAGGAUGAUCAAAUUAUUGGAAACAAAUACUCCUCAGCAAUAAACAAAUGGAUAACAUUUCAUAAAAAUGUAGAAAUUACACACAUGUAACAUACUUCCCUAUAUUUGUAUAUUGUGAGGAGCAGGUGUGGCAGCAGUCCCAAGAUGGCGCCCAGAACUGUAGCCAAGUUUUAUGACUUUCACCUUCUUCCUCAUACACCUGAAAAUAAGCCACAUCCAUCGUGAGAACUGCACAAGUGCACCAUGAUGCAAGAUUGGACCAUAUGACGAGUGAUGAUUCUGGCCAAUGGACUGCUGUUACAUGGACUGGGCUGAUGGGGCAUGGUUGAGAGGAUAUAUAAGGAAUUGCGAUUGGGGUCGGGUUGGUUGGUGUUGUUUUUUCCUGGAGAGAUUGAUUUCUGGAGAGAGAUUCAUGCAUGAUGUUGAAAGGUUCCAGAAUAAACU